rnacentral:lncRNA from 1 species
CCACCAUCUUGAGGGGAAGAUGGAGGAGUACAUAAGAUGGUGAAAGGACAGCUGAGGCAAGGUGAAUAUACCUGGACAGUAGAAAAGGUCUUCUAACACAGGAGCCACUAGAAACAGUGGGGAGCAGGAUGCAGACACUGAGCUGAAUGACUCGAGCUCAGAUUUGCCUGAAUGAGCAUUUGAGGUUCCAAUUAAAUCCUUGUUUCGGCCAUUGCAUUGCCUGCCAGUAGUUAAUCUUUCUCGAAAGCCUCAUCACUUAUCUAAAACAAAAGAAGAACGAGGAGGAUGAACUGGAUGAUCAUAGAGGGGUCUUCUCUCUACUUUGAAAUCCAUGCAUGUAUGUAAUAAAUGGG